rnacentral:rRNA from 1 species
GGUUAAGCGACUAAGCGUACACGGUGGAUGCCCUGGCAGUCAGAGGCGAUGAAGGGCGUGCUAAUCUGCGAUAAGCGCCGGUAAGGUGAUAUGAACCGUUAUAACCGGCGAUACCCGAAUGGGGAAACCCAGUGUGAUUCGUCACACUAUCAUUAACUGAAUCCAUAGGUUAAUGAGGCGAACCGGGGGAACUGAAACAUCUAAGUACCCCGAGGAAAAGAAAUCAACCGAGAUUCCCCCAGUAGCGGCGAGCGAACGGGGAGGAGCCCAGAGCCUGAAUCAGCAUGUGUGUUAGUGGAAGCGUCUGGAAAGGCGCGCGAUACAGGGUGACAGCCCCGUACACAAAAGCGCAUGUGCUGUGAGCUCGAUGAGUAGGGCGGGACACGUGGUAUCCUGUCUGAAUAUGGGGGGACCAUCCUCCAAGGCUAAAUACUCCUGACUGACCGAUAGUGAACCAGUACCGUGAGGGAAAGGCGAAAAGAACCCCGGCGAGGGGAGUGAAAAAGAACCUGAAACCGUGUACGUACAAGCAGUGGGAGCACAGGUUUACCUGUGUGACUGCGUACCUUUUGUAUAAUGGGUCAGCGACUUAUAUUCUGUAGCAAGGUUAACCGAAUAGGGGAGCCGGAGGGAAACCGAGUCUUAAUUGGGCGUUAAGUUGCAGGGUAUAGACCCGAAACCCGGUGAUCUAGCCAUGGGCAGGUUG